GGGAGGAGACCCUGGAGCUGUAAGAAGAAGAAGAAGAAAAAAAAAACAGUUCCUUUCUGACUACCGGGACAGUCAGUGGAUUUGGAGGCUGGGUUAAGUUUACCCCGUUCUCAAAGCGGAGACAGAAUACCAGGUUGCAGCUGGCAGCUGUAGAUAGAUAUCUUUAUUUCUUUUUUCCUUCUUUUCCUUUUUUUCCCCCCUCGGUGUCAAAACAGGUCUCUGUAGCCCUGGUUGUCUGGAAUUCACUCUGCAGACCAGGCUGGCUUCGAACUCACAAGAGAUCCAUCUGCCUCUGCCUCUCAAGUGCUGGGAUUAAAGGCGUGCACCAUCAUCGCCUGGCUUAGAUAUUUCAACUCAAGUACUUGAAAUGUUGGUGUUUGUUGGUUGUACUUUUGGUCAGGUUGGCUUGCAGCAGGUGCGUCGGGUACGUGGUAGUGAGAAAAAAAAAAAAAAACUGGAUUCUGGUCCCUGCUCUGUAACUUUGACCUGUGAGCCCUUUCUUUACUGAGGUGGCAUCGUCACAUUGCUCACCAUAAGAAGUGUGAAAUCGCUAAAUUCUGUAAAGCGGGUAGUGGGCAGAAGCACUUGCCACCAAGCCUGAGAAAAUGACUUGAGUUCCUAGGACCCACAUGAUAGAAGAGUUUUCCUCUGACUUCUACAUUUGCAUGCUGGCACCUGUCCUCCUACCCUACAUAAUAAGUAAAUAAAUGACAAUAAGAAACUGA
rnacentral:lncRNA from 1 species